rnacentral:lncRNA from 1 species
GGGGACGCAGUGAAGGCGACGAACUCGUCGAUGGCGUCGCGGUGGCUGGAGGUUGAAGACGACAUCGAUGGCGACGACAGAGAACUCCCAGGCUCGAGCCGAAGGGCGUGGCCGAUGUGGACGACGACGACAGUCCUCUUGGGUGUCUCACGACGGCGAGGGCUGGCUAGUGGUCUUGGCAACGACGAGACGGCAGCGACGAUGGCAUUCGGUUGAGGUCGGACGUGGGCGGGGAGGAGAGCAACGGCACAGGGGGAGGGGGAGGAGCGGGCAGCGUUAGGGUGAGCGGGGAUGGUUCGGCGCGGCUAUAUAGGUCAGGGGAGCCGAGGAUGCUCGACGUGUGGCGCCGGCCAUGGAGAUGGCGCCACGACUGCCCUGGCUGCUCCUGUAGCUUGUAGGAGAGGAUUGUGGGGUGGGGUGGGCCAAAACUAUUACCUUAAGGCCCAGAGGCAUAGUGAUAGGUUUUUCCUUUUUUUAAUUUACGUUACUGUUUUCCCUUUGCUCCUGUUUUGCAUUAUUUUGAGCUACUAAAUGAUUAUUGUAAAAGGAUGAAACUUGACACAUAAUUACUUGGCAAUAUCCUCAGUUGGCUCAAAAAGGUUGAGGCUGGUUGGAAUCCAUUUAAAUUUCGUUUAAAUAGAAAAGGGGUAAAUGUUGUUGUUUUGACCCUGUUUUAAAAGGGUUAGGGGCAAUUUAAUACUUCAAAUAAUAUUGGUUUCUACAUGUCAAUUACUUGGUAAUUAUUUUCAACCUAACCAACAAUUCUGUUUUAAUGUUUGAAGAAAUAAUAAAUUUGACUUGUGAAUUGAAUUGGAAUGUGACUUGAGAGUUGAUCAAGUGAUAGCUAGCUCAGUAAAGCAUGGUGACAUGGCAUCAUUAGGGUGGGGUUACAGUAGCAUGACAUUGGGGGUGUUACAAAUCUCAUCCACUACAAGAAAUCUCGUCCCGAGAUUUAAGAAGUGGAGUAAAGGGAAAAGAUUUGGUUACGAAAUUCUAACGGAUCUUCUCGUUCUUGGCUGCUCUUGUCGUAGAAGUUGAUCCCGUUAGUUGAUGUCUUCAACUCUCUGCUUCAGGUCACUAUGAUGAAGUCGUCAUCCUUUCUUCGGGAACUCCAUCGUACUUACAUAAAAGGAUAAGGGGUAACUUCGAAAGAACAGAAGUCUGCACGGUUGCUUAUCUGGUAGAUAAGUCCGGGAAGGUGGCAGUAUCUCUCGAAUUGAAACUUAAGAAAAUAUCAAGAGCACGAUAAGAAGGUAUCAUGAGAAGUUUCAAAUGGAUAGACAAUCGUUUGAAGUCUGAAACAAAGUGUGAAAGGGGUCCAGAGCAACGAGACUAAGUAUUGUGUCCGAUACCAGAAUAGAUCACAAGGAAGGUGGCCUGUGAAUUACAUACGGAGCCAAGCGUGAGGAAUAUCUUUUGCAACAGGGGUGUAUAGGAGUGUCAGGUUUCGAUCAUGUGGAACUGUGGGUUAUGGGCCCACCAUGUGGGUUAAAGUAGGAAGGGCGCGGACAUCUUGCACGGUCAUGAUAGCAUGGCAUGUCAAAGGAUAGACUGCGAGUUAUGUUGGCAACAACAUUGGUACCAAGGGCGAGGGAUGAAGAGAACCAUUUUCCUGCUCAUUGAACGAGGCGGACCAAUAGGCAAGGUUCUCAUCCAUCGGUGGCUACCAGAAUGUCACCAACAAUAGUAACAGGGUCUUAUUGACAGAGUUGUACACCGAGGUGCUUACUUAAGCAGGGAUUUAUCUCUGCUCAGCCAAGUUAGAUUACAUGAAAGGUUAAACGAAACAAUGGAAAGGAAAAUGUGUUUAUACACAAGAUUUAGGAGUGUAACUUUUCCCAAGGAAAAGUAGAGCAUGAUACACAUGUUAGAUCAACAAGUACACCACCAUUUGGAUAAAGGGGCAAGGGAAUUCAUGAUGUUAUCCAUACAACGGUGUUUGGAUAAUAGAGCAAGAAACAUUUGGCAAUGCACUUCCAAUGUUCUUGUUCUUGUUCCGCGUACCACAGUUAUGCUUCGAGGUAACAUUAACAUGGUGUUUCAAGCAAGAUUGAAUCUGAAGGUCACAAGAAGUACAAAGGAACAAUUCCAAGAAUGUUAAGGAAUGUAAGAUAUAACCAAAACAUGACCAAGUCUGUAUUGGCAGGAAGUCAAGGUUGGUGUCGAUGACAACACGAAUCAUCGACGGGCAAGGAUGGUAUUUCUCCUUAAGAAUUCGAUUGAUAUCUUAGAACAAGGCAGUAUAUUGAUGGUGAUCACGACAAAUUUCGUCGAGAGGCUUUAUGAAGAUGCCAUCGAGCAGCAACGACAUCAAGCAAAAGGAAUGAUGAAGCGAAGGCUAUUGGAACCACGGAUAUGACACAAGCUCGGAUUCAAGCUUGUUGUUCAAGGUGGAAAGAUAAGAUGAGGAAGAUCGAUGUAAGCUUCACCCAUCGUCGAAAAGUUGUGCUCCGGGAAUAAGGACCAGGUAGCACACUUAAAAUUAGCACGAUAAUGAUAUAGCCAAUCAGGCUCGGAAUGAUGUGACGGAGUAUCACUCCAAUUAAGAAUUUACAAGAGGUAGUGCAAUGACACAAUAUUCUCGAGAUAACAUGAGGCAAUACUUGUAGGUAGAUCAAAUUAGAGGUUGGACAGGUGAAAUGACUUGCAGGAGACAAGUAUUUUAACUUGUCCGAGAAAUGGAAUUAAGGAGAAACUAUGGUCGGAACCACGAUUAUGAAUGAUCAAACCACUGAUACAAGAUGAACUUAUAACAAGGGGUAAUUAUUUUUACGAGCAGCUUCCAUGAUAAGUUCUACACCGGAUCCAUGGGCAUGAACACAAAGGUUCAAGGCCGACUCCCACUUCUUCAAUGCAUAACCUUUCAUUCACUCCUCGUUCUCAAAGAAUUUGUAGUGUGAAAGAUUUAUCUGGUGAAGCACCAAAAGAGUAUUACUCACAUCUCUUUCGAGUUCACACGGAUUAGGGAAGGCAUAGGUUCAACCCGUAGGGGUAUCUUAGGAACAUAUACCACUGACUUCGAGAGCAUAUAACAUCAGCUCAAUAGCAGAGCAUGGUUGACAAUAAGCAGAGGAUACAAUUUACCGAAGGCAAUAUGUAUCAGGGGAAGAACGCACGAGAUUUUGAAUAUGAAGGACAUUGCCGGAUAAUAAUCCAACAAAGGAUUCAGCAGUCCUCAAUGGAUCUGAUGUGAGUAUCAUUACUCAAUCAGAAGAGGGAAAGAAUUCAAAGGCAUCAGAUUAUAGAAACAGUUGAAUAAUUCGACGUUCAAGUUGAAGGGAACUAGGUGGACAAUCAAUUACAACAUGAUUGGCCGAGAUCCAACUCAUGUCCAGAAUGACGUAUGAGCAGGAAGGUCAAAUUUCAGGGUUCGACUGAUGAUUGCGAGCAAUCGCAAGAUAAUGAAUCAACAGGCUCAGGAUGGCAAAGACAAAGGAUGUUAAUGAAUAUUGCUGGACAUAUGGAUUUAACCAUAAUGCAGCCAGACAAGACUUUCGGGAGCACUAGGCUGCAGAGGAUCUUUGGGAGAUCGAAUUGCAUCCGAAGAAUUUUGUGAGACAUAUGAUCAACUGGGGAUGAACGAAUCCCCGGUAAGUGUGAGGAAUUAUUCGUGGGGUUAUUCAGGUGGAAAAGAGCUGCAAGGCAGUCGGAAAAAGGAUUCUCCAAAGUCAGAGAAUACUUUCGGGUAUCAUGUAAUAACAAGAACAACUAGGGAUGGAAGUAUGAACGGCGAGGUACGCAGUUAUCCAUAAGGAUUCAACGGUGUUAAGGGAUUGCAAAAGAAAUGAACACAAGUUCUCGGGAGUAGAUUGGAGAGUAUCUUCGAAGUCUUCUCGUGAAGCAGGCAACCAUCCGGAAUGAAGGGGCUCUCCGGGGAAAGUCGUUACGAGAACCUAAUGUUGUUAGUAAAUUCAUUUAACCCGAAUAGAAGAGAGAAAAGAGUCCCAGAAUAAAGAUCGAGAAGUAAAAGAUGCUAAUACCACCCAUUUGUCAUGUGGGCCCGUAAGCCACACAAUCAGUGUUAGUAAAAGUUUUUCAAGGACUAGACUCAACUUCGGCCAAGGAGUUGGAAAGGGUGCUACCUACAGGCAGUCGGCUUUGAUACCAACUUGUGACGCCCUCGAUUCAAUCGUACACUAAUCAUACACGCAAAUGUGUAUGAUCAAGAUCAAGGACUCACGGGAAGAUAUCACAACACAACUCUAGACACAAAUUAAAAAAAUACAAGCUUUAUAUUACAAGCCAGGGGCCUCGAAGGCUCGAAUACAUAAGCUCGAAAACACAAGAGUUAGCGGAAGCAACAAUGUCUGAGAACAGACAUAAGUUAGACAAGUUUGCCUUAAGAAGGCUAGCACAAAAGUAGCAACGAUCGAAAAGGCAAAGCCUCCUGCCUGGGAGACUCCUAACUACUCCUGGUCGUCGGCGGUCUCCACGUAGUAGUAGGCAUAGACUGUCGCAUCUGGCUCCUGGGCUCCGACAUCUGGUUGCAUCAAUCGGAAAGAAGAAGAAAGGGGAAAAAGGGGGAGCAAAGCAACCGUGAGUACUCAUCCAAAGUACUCGCAAGCAAGGAUCUACACUACAUAUGCAACAUUAUCAAAGAAAGGUUGUAUAUGUGGGCUGGGCUGCAGAAAUGCCAGAAUAGAGGGGAGAGCCUAGUCCUAUCGAAGACUAGCAUCUUCUGGAAACCACCACCUUGCAGCAACAGGAGGGAGUAGAGUAGCAUAAAGUAAAGUAGUAGUAGUGUUAUCAACCUCGGCCAGAGAUCCUUUCUCGACUCCCUGUGAGAAAGCAAUCCCAAAGCCAUAUACUAUCCAUUUCUCAUAUCCAUGUCUUAUCUCAAGUAUCCAGUUCUAGUUGUAUCGAUCGGGAUACAACUCCAAGUAUCCGUUACCGUAGGACAGGCUAUCAAUAGAUGUUUUCUUCCCUGCAGGGGUGCACCAACUUACCCACCACGCUCGAUUAACUCCGGCCGGACACACUUUCCUGGAUCAUGCCCGGCCUCGGCCAAACAAUACGCGGCAACCCGACCUAGCCUUAAUAGAGAGGUCAGCACGCCGAACUAAACCUAUGCCCCCAGGGGUCAUGGGCCAUCGCCCCGGGAACUCCUGCACGUUGCGAAGUGGCCGGUGAGCAGACCUAGCUACCUGCUUAAAAAAGGCAGGUGCUUACCAGUCCAACCCGGCGCGCGCCGCUCAGUCGCUGACGUCUAUUAAGCUUCGGCUGAUGCAUACGACGCAGAACGCCCAUACAAUGCCCACGUGAUGGUUAGUGCUAUCCGGCCAGAGGCCCCUCGGAUCAAAUAUCCAAAUCGUAGUGGAUUAGGAGCACGCGGUAACAAGCAGAGACUCACGAAAGAUGUGACCCCAUUGCCCCGUCUUGAGGACUUGCGGCAAGGGCUAGGAAUGCCCGGCCAUGCCUCGUAAUUAUCUCGAAGGCUCCCUCCAGGUCAACCCGUCUCCACAUCACUCGCGGGUACCCCUCAGGGUCGACCCGCCUUUCCAAGUAGCAGUGGUAAAGUCCAAGUAUCCAUGUGUCCAAACAUCAAGGGGAAAACCCGAGGAAUCACCCCCGACGAAUUCCACUCGAUGGAAUCAUCAAGGUGAACUUAAGAGGGACCACCCUCGAGGUUCACACUUGAGGGGUUGCACGACAAAGUCGUAUCGGAAGUGGUUAAGGAGGAAAUCACCCUCGAUGACCACGACCGAAUAGCUACACUACAAGGUUAACAUCAGAAGUGCUGAUGAGGUCUCACCCCCGGCACUCGAUAAUAAUCGUGUAGUGUCGAGCAACUAAGGGGAAAGUGAUGUGCGGUGCCGGGGCCUGGUCUUCGAUCCCGUUGAUCGGGUCUUCAAUGAUGAAGCAGGGGCAACAAGGACAAGGUGGGGGUCACUGAUGGAUCACUAACCAACCUAUACUAAGCAGUUUAGGAUCAACAGGUAAGGUACAAUGAGCAAGUUACAAAAGCAGGCUAUGCAUCAGAAUAGGAGCAAACAAUAACAGUAGUAAAAUCUAAUGCAAGCAUGAUAGAAUGGAAUGGGCGAUAUCGGGAUGAUCAAAGGGGGGGCUUGCCUGGUUGCUCUGGCAAGGAGGGGUCGUCGGUGAUGUAGUCGAUCACAGGGGCAGCAUCGGUCUCGGGGCUACCAGAGAGAAGAGGGGGAAGGAACAGUAAAUAUAAAGCAAACAUAGCACCACAAAGCAUAACAUGGCAAUAAGAUGUGCCAGGUGUGACCUAACAUAUGGCUACACGAUAAAGGUGAAGGGGGAAUUCAACCGGGAAUGUUUUCCCGGUUCCGGACCUGUGUCAGACAGAUGACCGGAGGGGAAUGUUCCAUGUUCUGAUAGUUAGAAGCAUCUGACAGGUAUGUGGGUAGCGUAUUCGGGUUCGUCUCAUUUUUCUGAGCAACUUUCAUGUAUGAAGUUUUUCGAUCCGAGCUACGGUUUAUUUUAUAUGAAUUUCUAAAGAUUUAAACAUUUUCUGAAAUCUCUGGAUUUAUUAUUAAUUUCGCAAUUAAAACUGUAAAUUUACUUUUGUCACCUAGUGUGCUGCCAGCCACUGUCAAUAACAUGCGGGGCUAGGUCAAAGUCAACAGUACAAUCAUCUGUUGACCAGGUCAACCAGUGAAUAAUUGCUGUGGGUCCUGCGUGUCAUUGUCUAUGGUUAAUUAGACUUUGAUUAAAUUAGAUUAGCUAAUAGUGGGGGCCACUGUCAUUGGCUAGUAGUUAAACUAAUUAGUAAUUAGCCCUAAGAUAAAAUGCCCGGCCGGCCGGUGGUGGCUAUGCAUACACACGCACACCACACGGGCUUGGACAUGGCCACUAGCAGCAACUAGUAUCGGCAGGAACAACAACUAGCAGCGGCAGCAGUGGGCGGCUUCAGCACAGAGCAGCAGCCGGCAACGAGCAGCACACGCAGUUGCGGCAGCAAGGAACAACAACAACGUUACGGCAGCGGCAAGAGCAGCAGCAGCGAGCGGGGACAACAGCCGCGGGCGCGCAUUGUGCGCUGCCGGAGCUCACACACGCACGGGCAGGACGACCAGGGGGCGCGCGGGAGCACGCACGGGGGCGAGGCCAGGCGCAGACGGGCGGGCGCGGAGGCGCGCGGGCACGCGCGAGGGCCCGACUAGGGGCACGGACGGGCCAACUCCGGCGAUGGCGACAAAUCGAAGGGGAAAAGCAGGGGAAUCGGGAGAGGAGCUCACUACGAGCUCAAAGGCGAGGCCGGGGAGGCCGGGGACGCAGUGAAGGCGAUGAACUCGUCGAUGGCGUCGCGGUGGCUGGAGGUUGAAGACGACAUCGAUGGCGACGACAGAGAGCUCCCAGGCUCUAGCCGAAGGGCGGGGCCGAUGUGGACGACGACGGCGGUCCUCCUGGGUGUCUCACGACGGUGAGGGCUGGCCAGUGGUCUUGGCAACGACGAGGCGGCAGCGACGAUGGCCUUCGGUUGAGGUCGGACGUGGGCGGGGAGGAGAGCAACGGCGCAGGGGUGAGGGGGAGAAGCGG